rnacentral:lncRNA from 1 species
CACCACUGAGAGUACAGAAAACACCUGUGAGAGAGGCUGGCAUCCAGGGCGGGAAACCUCUUUUGAGGGCGUGAACCAGGAUGUGAAGCAGCAUUUGAAUUCUUGCUGCUCUCUUCUGGAGCAGUGGGAUAUUGGGCAGUUCACUUAACCUCUCUGAGCUCCUUCCUCAAGCCUUUUUUUCCUGACUACAGCGAGCAACAGCUGUUUGAGAUGGUGGAGCACAUUCUUGCUGGUGAAAGGAAGCAAGGUCAACAGAGACUCAUAGAGGAAACAUUCAACAACUUGAACAGUAAGCAAGUUGCAGUUUCCGUCUCAGUGGACUGAGGUGAUACAGCAGAUUUUGCUGUGGACCAAGAUCCAGUUUUCCUCAUAACACUCACAGCUUUGGACCCCUGCACCUGCUGCUAUGCUACACUGGAGGAAACAGAGCUCCGCAAGACCCUCAGCAACUGCUUCCCAAGUACAUAAGAGGAAAACAAAACAAAACAAACCACCAACACACACACAUGUUCACACAGACACACACAUGUGUGGGAUAAGAGGCAGAGCUAGAGUCCAUUUUCCAGGUCAGACUUGGGACUCCAAGCCUGACUUUGGAGUGAUUCAAAUCACCUUCCACCUAUUUUGCUGCUUGUUCAGUUCAGUACACGUUAAGAAUGGCCCCCAACCAACAGGGAACUGGUUUGGUUAUCUUCCUUUGCCUUUCAAACUCACCCAAGCAAAGAUAAAUGCAGGUAUUAAAUGACUAAUCCAGAUCCCCAGCACCACAUCAAGGUAGGUGACAGAAGAUUAACAAGUUCCUAACUGUUCUUUAAGUGUAAUUUGUUGCAACGUUCUGAAACUGAUUAAUAUCCCCUCCCCUUCUUGCCCUGAAAUGAAUCUGGUGGUAUUAAAUUAAAUAAAAUAGUUCCAGUUUGUCCAUAGCUCCUCAGGGUUCCUCUUCAAAGCACUGGGCACUUUGAAAGAUAACUGUAAAGGUCACAUUUGUAAUAUAAGCAAGAACUUCUUAAACAGACAUGUAAGUAACUGCACAUAGACGUGACAUGUCAUAGCUCGAGAAAUCUUUUAAAGUAAAGUUUACGCCAAAUUAACUUCCAACAGCUCCGACUCUCCAGACCAUUCUUGGUACUCUUAAUGACAGACUGUGCAGCCCAAAGCCUGCAGCUGCAGUGUCAGGACAAAUUAGCCUAAAGUGGAACAAAAGUCAAUGUGAAGAAAUGUGGUAUCCGGCAAGGUCUGACUUUUGAAAUUCUGAGAUUGAUGACAUUUUAAAGGUGUAGGUACAACAGAAUGUGUUUUCCAUAUUUGUAAGCAAUUCUAGGUUCCUGAGCACUGAGAGAAAAGCAAAGUUAAUUUCUCACCGUAGGAGAAGGCCUUAUUAUUUUUGUGCACAUACACGACUGUCCUGUGAUCAAGAAAAGGCAUCUUUUAAAAGAAUCGUUUUGAAAUGUUUAUCUCUUAUUUGAAAUCCAAGAAAGAGUAGACAUUCAUUUCCAAACAGGACCAUAAAUCAUAUAACGCUGGGAGAAAGGUCAACACCACCAGCACAGCACAGUUUUCUCACAUAUGCUUAAGGAUUUUCAGAAUCUCCAAAUAAUAGCAUGAUGUAAACUUUGAAUAAAAAAGAACACCAUCAAGACUCCACUGAACAAAGAACGUCUGACUGGAAAUGCUUACGGCACCCUUCACAUGGUUGGGCAACUUUCCUCUACUGUUCCACCCCUUCUGCCUGUGCAGCUGCCAGAGUUAACUUAUCUUUAUCAGAAUCACAAAGGAACACUCUCCUGCUUAUUUACAAGGCUAAAAUGACAUCUGGUGGCGCUCUUCUCUGAGAACUCAGUCACUGUUCCUGGAAAAUGAUGCAAAAGCACAAACUUUUGCAGGGCAACUGUAGGAGUAUUCUUGUGCGUGUGUGUUAAGUACUAACUGCUGAUGUUGCUCAAAUGUUCCGCUAGUCCCUGUAGCCUCACAAUGUUUUAUUCAUUGUCCUGUGAUCAAUUCAAAAAAGCCAUCUUUUAUAAGAAUGGUUUUGAAGUGUUUAUCUUUUAUUUGAACAUCCAAGAAAGAGUAGACAUUGACUUCCACAGGGGACCAUACCUCCUAUAAUGCCUGAAGGUGCUUAAAAUAUAGUGAACUGUGUUAAAGUUAAUAGGAUACAUCAUUAGUGUGUUAAAAAAUGUAAAAUGGUGACAUACUAUCAGCUCACCUGGGUAAGGAAAAUAUGGCUAAAGUACCUCUAAAGGUAUCUACUUAUUAAGUAUACUGACCAAACUUUAGACAUUUUACUUCGACCACAGAAAGUAUUAUUUGAAAAAAAAAUCUUCAUUACAAAAUUACAUAUUUAAUUAGGAAGUAAAACCUAAAUCUGUAUUUACUAGCAAUGCCAACUUUAAAUAUUCUAGUUGCAGCUGACAACAGAAAUUCUAACAUGCAUAUGUUGUUGCAUAAUAGCCUCUUUUUCCUAGUUGGGUAUGUUUGUAGAGACAGAAAGGUCCCCUGACCAAUUGUGCAAUAGAGCCCCAAGAUACUUAAGCCUGGAACUACUCUCUCAGACUUAACAAAAUGUUCAUCUUAAUUUCUAUCAGAUUGGGACAAAACAUUCACUCUUUAGAUAAUAGAGGAGAGACUAAAGAACAUGUCAUAAUAGUCAAAUUUGUGCCAAUGUUAAAUCUAUCCCUUUAAAAACAUGUAUUAUUGUGAGGCCGCAGGGAUUAGUGCAACAUUUGAACAGAAUCAGCAGUUAGUACUUAACACACAUGCACAAGAAUACUCCUACAGUUGCCCUGCAACCAAGAAGCUAAUAAAAGAGCCAGGCUUUUCAAAUGAACACCUCGAUGAUGACACCAUUAGUUAUUCAGCAAAAAUAAAUGCUUCAUUAACUUGUCUUCCCACUGUUAAAGGAUAGGAUGAAUUUACCUCAAGGCAGCAACUCAGAUAUUAACGUUCCCUUACAUUUUAGAGCUCACUAUGCAGAAAUACCAGAAAUAAGGUGACUUAAAACUCAAUUUGUCUGUAAAAUACACUGGCCUUUGGAAUCCAGAAACCCACUUGGUCCUGACUGCCAAUUACUUGACCUUCCUUUUGUUACUUGACCUCUCUGGAUCUUGACUAAACUCAUUUGUGAGACAAGAGGAGAUGUCCAAAGUUUUUUCAUCUCAAAUAUGUUACGAUUUAGAUUCAACAAUUAUUUUUCCAAUUCCUACCACACACCCCGAAUACUGAGGUCACGCUGAGGUAUUAUUUGCCUAAGACUCUCGUAAAUGACUCAAUAAGGGAUCAACUCCAUUAGUGCAGUGGCCAGCAUUGAGUGAUCAGCAAAAAUAUCUCAUUGAGUAUUUCUAUGAUGUCACGGCUGUGCCUUUUAACAUAAUGUAACUUGAAUGUAUGCCUCUUAUCUAUUAAAAAAAUUACAAAUGAAGGAAAACAGCACAUGCCAACGUCAACACAUCUUUGAAAAGUUGCCACCAACGCUUCGCAUAAGAGGACUACUGGAAGGGAAGCUGAAUUCAGGGUCCUAUUAGGGUGAUAUUUGCGAGGCACUGUCUAACCCGAGAGAGUCCCGAAGCGUCCUGCAACAGGAAGAUGCCCUGGACCCAAUGGAUGGUCAGGAGAUGCGAAGUAACUGCCAGGGUGGCCUGGGCACUCCCAACAGACCACAAAUGUUGAUUUCAGAAUCUUUGGCACUUUCCAAAAUGUGGCUGAGCAGUAAUUUGGAAGCCUAAAUCCUGACUUUAGAAAUUCAUAAGAACAACCAAUGUUUUAUAAACUCAACAGAAAGUAAAAUAAACAAACCCAGGGUUU